UUGAAGAGUUUGAUCAUGGCUCAGAUUGAACGCUGGCGGCAGGCCUAACACAUGCAAGUCGAACGGUAACAGGAAGCAGCUUGCUGCUUCGCUGACGAGUGGCGGACGGGUGAGUAAUGUCUGGGAAACUGCCUGAUGGAGGGGGAUAACUACUGGAAACGGUGGCUAAUACCGCAUAACGUCGCAAGACCAAAGAGGGGGACCUUCGGGCCUCUUGCCAUCAGAUGUGCCCAGAUGGGAUUAGCUAGUUGGUGAGGUAACGGCUCACCAAGGCGACGAUCCCUAGCUGGUCUGAGAGGAUGACCAGCCACACUGGAACUGAGACACGGUCCAGACUCCUACGGGAGGCAGCAGUGGGGAAUAUUGCACAAUGGGCGCAAGCCUGAUGCAGCCAUGCCGCGUGUAUGAAGAAGGCCUUCGGGUUGUAAAGUACUUUCAGCGGGGAGGAAGGUGUU
rnacentral:rRNA from 1 species